GGCCGAGGUGGCCCGGGGCAGGGCCGGGCGCUGCUGCAGCCCGUCGUCGUCGCGGCGGCGGUCGGCGUCUCGGUGAGCGCCGUCGACCUCC
rnacentral:tRNA from 2 species